UACGUAGGGGGCGAGCGUUGUCCGGAUUUAUUGGGCGUAAAGAGCGUGUAGGCGGCCAGGUAGGUCUGCUGUGAAAACUCGAGGCUCAACCUCGAGACGUCGGCGGAAACCAUCUGGCUAGAGUCCGGAAGAGGAGAGUGGAAUUCCUGGUGUAGCGGUGAAAUGCGCAGAUAUCAGGAAGAACACCCGUGGCGAAGGCGGCUCUCUGGGCCUUACCUGACGCUGAGGAGCGAAAGCGUGGGUAGCGAACAGG
rnacentral:rRNA from 1 species